rnacentral:lncRNA from 1 species
AUAUACAGGGGGUACCGGUACAGAGUCAAUGUGGAGGCUAUAUACAGGGGGUACCGGUACAGAGUCAAUGUGGAGGCUAUAUACAGGGGGUACCGGUACAGAGUCAAUGUGGAGGCUAUAUACAGGGGUUACCGGUACAGAGUCAAUGUGGAGGCUAUAUACAGGGGGGUACCGGUACAGAGUCAAUGUGGAGGCUAUAUACAGGGUAUUACGGUACAGAGUCAAUGUGGAGGCUAUAUACAGGGUAUUACGGUACAGAGUCAAUGUGGAGGCUAUAUACAGGGUAUUACGGUACAGAGUCAAUGUGGAGGCUAUAUACAGGGGGUACCGGUACAGAGUCAAUGUGGAGGCUAUAUACAGGGGGUACCGGUACAGAGUCAAUGUGGAGGCUAUAUACAGGGGGUACCGGUACAGAGUCAAUGUGGAGGCUAUAUACAGGGGGUACCGGUACAGAGUCAAUGUGGAGGCUAUAUACAGGGUAUUACGGUACAAAGUCAAUGUGGAGGCUAUAUACAGGGGGUACCGGUACAGAGACAAUGUGGAGGCUAUAUACAGGGGGUACCGGUACAGAGUCAAUGUGGAGGCUAUAUACAGGGGGUAGCGGUACAGAG